rnacentral:misc_RNA from 1 species
GAUGAAGAACGCAGCAAAAUGCGAUACUUGGUGUGAAUUGCAGAAUCCCGUGAACCAUCGAGAUUUUGAACGCAAGUUGCGCCCGAAGCCUUUUGGCCGAGGGCACGUCUGCCUGGGCGUCACGCAUCGCGUCGCCCCCCACAAUUCUCCGUAAAAGGAACAUGUGUUUUGGGGGCGGAUAUUGGUCUCCCGUGCUCAUGGCGUGGUUGGCCGAAAUAGGAGUCCUUUCGAUGGACGCACGAACUAGUGGUGGUCGUAAAAACCCUCGGCUUUUGUUUCGUGCUGUUGCUCGCAAGGUAAACUCUGUAAAAACCCCAAUGUGUCGUCUCUUGACGACGCUUCGACCGCGACCCCAGGUCAGGCGGGACUACCCGCUGAGUUUAAGCAUAUCAAUAAGCGGAGGA